AGCCCUAUUUAUUAGGCUUGGCGUCCUAUUGCUUUCCCACUCUUUCCUCUCCGUUGGCCACUAAACAAAUGCUGCUCCUACUUGCCUUUUCUUUUCUUCCCUCCUCAUCUCCCCUACUUUCUUGACAGCACUGUUUCUGCUGCAUCAUCUAGCUAGGGUUUUCAAAACCACGAACAGUUCGAAAGAUUCCUGAUCAUCGUCUGGAUUUCCAUGGCGUCAGCACUUUUCUCUAUUGGAGAGUACUCAAAAGACACUGCUUAAAGGAAAGUUGCAGGGUUUGAAUCAGGGUCUGGCCAUGGCAACAUAUAAUUAACUUAAGUUUGAAAGAAUGGAUCUUUUAGGAGAGAGAGAGAGAGAGAGAGAGAGAGAGAGAGAGAGAGUACACUGAAUGAAACCAUAAAGCCGCCAAGUUAGCAGUAGUACUAUAUCUUUCGGCAUGACUCUAUUUUUCUUUUCUUUUUCCUUUUUUUCCUUGUAAAGGUUUUCUGAUUAUUUCUGAGCAGUAAUGACAACCACCCAUAUGAGGAAAUUAAGAAACAAGUUGUUUGACUUUUCUUUGUGUUUGGGUAUGUACUAGGUUGUUCUCUGUGCGUGUCUGUGUUAAACUUCAAUUUUAGUCGGAAAAUUUUUUCACGAUAAAAUCAAUUGUCUCAAAAAAAUAAAAAAUAAAUGGCCCUUGAAUAUAACUAUCAGCCGGUUAUGCAUACGAUUAAAUUACGACUUCGAUCCGAAAACUAGAAGUUAAUAAGUCGCCAUGUUAAAUUUUAUGAUUUUCUUAGUUUCUAUAUACAUUUUGUAAUUCGACGCGUUAAGAUUUUAUUUGAUCACUACUCUAUGUAAUAAGCCUCUAUUUAUGAGCAAUGCCUAGUAUGCAUGGCUUUUUUCCUGUCUUCUUGAUUUCAAUUAACUGCAUCAUUUUCUUGGGACUUGAUUGGGACUAAAUGUUUAAUUUUAUCAUACCUGUUUUUGAAGCAAUUUUCGCAACUUGAACCCCAUUGGCCUUCUACAAGGGCGCUAAUCGUCUCCCCCCUUUCAUUGAAUAUUUUUUUCCCUAAAAUUGUACUAACUAGAAAGUAUAGAUUAUUCCUCGUGUUAAUGGUCAGUUUUAACUGAUAGCUAUGAUUAGUUAUGUGAUUUUUUUAUUUUGUACAUCAAACUUGGACUUUACAAUGAUAACCCGUGCUAUAACUUUUUGGAGUCGUCACUGCUUGUAGCAUCUUUUUACUUUCGGUGAUGUCAAUCCUUAGUAGAACAAUUUUACCUAGUAAUUGUAGCCUGAAAAGAAACAUUUGAAAUUCUCUUUCUACACAUUUAACCAUGACAUUCACAUUCUUUUGCUCAUUAUGGAAACCUAGUAGUAGCUAUUGGAAGCUACUAGCUGGCUAGUAGAUUUUGUGUCUAGUGCAUGCAAUUUAUUCAGCAUAAGUUACCAGUUUAUCAAACAAAAAAUGUAACACUGCAAAUGGCCGUCUUAUCAUUGUUCCCUUUGGUCUUUCUAAUGCUUAUUCCAAAGAUUAACGAAAAGCUGUGAUAGGGCAUUUUAGACAAUUUCUUGAUAUCUUAUUGUGAAUUAAUGUCAUCACCACCAGCAAGAUGAAUGUCUUUUUGUAAGGAUUAACAUGAGUAAUCAAUCGUUUUUGCAGUGAACAUGAAUAUCGUUUUUGCAGUACUAUACCUAUAAUAGGAAUAAAUUUAUUAUAGAU